rnacentral:piRNA from 1 species
UCACCUAGAAAAGNGAAAAGCGUCCUUUGGGC